GGCUUUAUAGUUGAAGAACAAUGUCAAAUUGCAGUUUUGAGGGUAUAUAAGUAUUUUAUUAAAGCUU
rnacentral:tRNA from 1 species